rnacentral:rRNA from 1 species
UACGGAGGGGGCUAGCGUUGUUCGGAGUUACUGGGCGUAAAGCGCACGUAGGCGGCUUUGCAAGUCAGAGGUGAAAGCCCGGGGCUCAACCCCGGAAUUGCCUUUGAGACUGCAUCGCUAGAAUUGUGGAGAGGUAAGUGGAAUUCCGAGUGUAGAGGUGAAAUUCGUAGAUAUUCGGAAGAACACCAGUGGCGAAGGCGACUUACUGGACACAUAUUGACGCUGAGGUGCGAAAGCGUGGGGAGCAAACAGG